AAAUCUAAAACUCUAUUGACAUAUAUUCAUAUAAUAUAUAUCUAGGAAUGGAACAUAGGAACUGAAGGACGACAAUCUCAGACCACCAUAUAUUCUUAACAUAAGAGAAAGAUAUUUUCAUUCCUCUUUUCCUUGAAGAAAGUCAUGGUUCUUUGUGUUCGUAGUGAAUUCUUAUUAUUCCUCUGGCUAGGAUUAUUAGUGUUUUGUCCAAGUGAAGUUUGUGGUUCGACAAGUAGAGAUCUUGCUCAACGAAGAAGAAAAAAUCAUCAGUUGAUGGUAAAGAAUCAGAGUAUGAGUACGCGUAUGCUUGAAGCAGUUGGCAUGAAGGGCCAGAAUACAGAUAAGAAACCGGCACCUCUAACUCAGACAUUUGAUCCUUACAGAACGAGCAAAAGGAGAGUUCCAAGAGGAUCAGAUCCUAUCCAUAACAAGACUUGAUAUAAAUAAGGCAUCUCUUUGCCAUAAGACAAGCAAGGCAAUUGAACACGAACGAAGAGUACAAAGGAUAAGAUUUCUCAACUGUACAUCAAAAUCAGAGGAAGAACAGACCAGAAUAUAUGUAGUUUAUAACUUCUCAAGACAAUAUCAGUUUGGCUUCAGUAUUUGUUGGUUUCUUCCAGAUAAGACUUAAUGGGUGCUUUGUUUGUAUUUUCAGUUUAUUGAUGAUACUUUCGAUGCGUUAAUGUCUCCGACCAUGUUUCUCCACAUUUACCCCUUUGUUUGAGCCCGAUUUUGUUUUGGUGGGGGGAGGAGAGGGGUGUUUUUGAAUAGUGAUCUAUGAGAAUACGUGGU
rnacentral:lncRNA from 1 species